UACGUAGGUGGCAAGCGUUGUCCGGAUUUAUUGGGCGUAAAGAGCGUGUAGGCGGCCAUACAGGUCCGUUGUGAAAACUCGAGGCUCAACCUCGAGACGUCGACGGAAACCAUCUGGCUAGAGUCCGGAAGAGGAGAGUGGAAUUCCUGGUGUAGCGGUGAAAUGCGCAGAUAUCAGGAAGAACACCCGUGGCGAAGGCGGCUCUCUGGGACGGUACUGACGCUGAGACGCGAAAGCGUGGGGAGCGAACAGG
rnacentral:rRNA from 1 species